AGCUCCUCUCCCGGUGGCGUCCUUUGGUUCUCCGGCGACCCUGGUUCCGGCGAGAUAGCAGUGCAGUGGUUGUGCUUUCCUCGGCAGUUAUGGGUUCUUUGUUAAAGUGGUUAGCUCGGGAGUGAGUCAAAGAAUCAAGUGCUUAACUUUUGGAGCUCGGUUAAAGGUGGGCCCAGCAGUGUGAAG